rnacentral:rRNA from 1 species
UUCCGGUUGAUCCUGCCGGAGGUCACUGCUAUUGGGAUUCGACUAAGCCAUGCGAGUCGAGAGGGUUCGGCCCUCGGCUGACGGCUCAGUAACACGUGGAUAAUCUGCCCUUAGGUGGAGGAUAAUCUCGGGAAACUGAGAAUAAUACUCCAUAGAUCUAGGAUGCUGGAAUGCACUUAGAUUGAAAGCUCCGGCGCCUAAGGAUGAGUCUGCGGACUAUCAGGUUGUGGUCAGGGUAAUGACCUGACUAGCCUACGACGGAUACGGGUUGCGAGAGCAAUAACCCGGAGACGAUAUCUGAGACACGAUAUCGGGCCCUACGGGGCGCAGCAGGCGCGAAAACUUCACACUGUGCGAAAGCACGAUGAGGGAAUCCCAAGUGCCAACUCGUAAGAGUUGGCUGUUUCUCUGUCUAAAAACCAGAGAGAGUAAGAGCUGGGUAAGACGGGUGCCAGCCGCCGCGGUAAUACCUGCAGCUCAAGUGGUGGCCACUAUUAUUGGGCCUAAAACGUCCGUAGCCGGUUUAAUAAAUGCCGGGGUAAAUCGUGUAGCUUAACUAUACGAAUUCCGGGUAGACUGUUAGACUUGAGACCGGGAGAAGCUAGAGGUACUCCUGGGGUAGAGGUGAAAUUCUGUAAUCCUAGGGGGACCACCAGUGGCGAAGGCGUCUAGCUAGAACGGGUCUGACGGUGAGGGACGAAGCCCUGGGGCGCAAACCGGAUUAGAUACCCGGGUAGUCCAGGGUGUAAACGCUGCUUGCUUGAUGUUAGUUGGGCUCCGAGCCCAAUUAGUGUCGGAGAGAAGUUGUUAAGCAAGCUGCCUGGGAAGUACGGCCGCAAGACUGAAACUUAAAGGAAUUGGCGGGGGAGCACAGCAACGGGUGGAGCGUGCGGUUUAAUUGGACUCAACGCCGGUAAUCUC